rnacentral:rRNA from 1 species
CCUACGGGAGGCAGCAGUGGGGAAUAUUGCACAAUGGGGGAGACCCUGAUGCAGCGACGCCGCGUGAGUGAAGAAGUAUUUCGGUAUGUAAAGCUCUAUCAGCAGGGAAGAAAAUUACGGUACCUGAGUAUUUAGCCCCGGCUAACUACGUUCCGGCAGCCGCGGUAAUACGUCGGGAGCCAGCGUUAUCCGGAUUUACUGGGUGUAAAGGGAGCGUAGACGGCAGCACAAGUCUGUAGUGAAAUGCCGGGGCUUAACCCCGGAACUGCAUUGGAAACUGGGCAGCUAGAGUGCAGGAGAGGUAAGUGGAAUUCGUGGUGUAGCGGUGAAAUGCGUAGAUAUCAGGAGGAACACCAGUGGCGAAGGCAGCUUACUGGACUGUAACUGACGUUGAGGCUCGAAAGCGUGGGGAGCAAACAGGAUUAGAUACCCGUGUAGUC